rnacentral:misc_RNA from 1 species
GAUGAAGAACGCAGCGAAAUGCGAUAAGUAAUGUGAAUUGCAGAAUUCAGUGAAUCAUCGAAUCUUUGAACGCACAUUGCGCCCUCUGGUAUUCCGGGGGGCAUGCCUGUUCGAGCGUCAUUAUAACCACUCAAGCUCUCGCUUGGUAUUGGAGUUCGCGAUCUCGCGGCUCCUAAAAUCAGUGGCGGUGCCUGUCGGCUUUACGCGUAGUAAUACUCCUCGCGAUUGAGUCCGGUAGGUUUACUUGCCAGCAACCCCCAAUUUUUACAGGUUGACCUCGGAUCAGGUAGGGAUACCCGCUGAACUUAAGCAUAUCAAUAAGCGGAGGA